GAUGAACGCUGGCGGCGUGCCUAAUACAUGCAAGUCGAGCGAAGCGGGGACGGGUGAGUAACACAUGGAUAACCUCCUAUAAGACUGGGAUAACUCCGGGAACGAUGACCUAAACAGGUUACUAAUCGUUGGGUCCGCGCUGCUUUAGCUAGUUGGUAAGGUAACGGCUUACCAUGGCAACGAUGCCUAGCCGACCUGAGAGGGUGAUCGGCCACACUGGAACUGAGACACGGCCCAGACUCCUACGGGAGGCAGCAGUAGGGAAUAUUCCGCAAUGGGCGAAAGCCUGACGGAGCAACGCCGCGUGAGUGAUGAAGGUCUUCGGAUCGUAAAACUCUGUUAUUAGGGAAGCGUUACCUAAACAGAAAGGGACGGCUAACUACGUGCCAGCAGCCGCGGUAAUAC
rnacentral:rRNA from 1 species